GGAAGUAAAAGUCGUACAAGGUUUCCGUAGGUGAACCUGCGGAAGGAUCAUUCAUAAUAAGUGUUUUAUGGCACUUUUUUAAAUCCAUAUCCACCUUGUGUGCAAUGUCAGGGUUGAUUUUUCUCUCGAGAGGUUCAACCCCAAACAUCAACUAUAUCUCAACUCUUUGUCUGAAAAAUAUUAUGAAUAAAACAAUUCGAAAUACAACUUUCAACAACGGAUCUCUUGGCUCUC
rnacentral:misc_RNA from 1 species